rnacentral:rRNA from 1 species
UACGUAGGGGGCAAGCGUUGUCUGGAUUUAUUGGGCGUAAAGAGCGUGUAGGCGGCUUGGUAGGUCCGCUGUGAAAACUCGAGGCUCAACCUCGAGAUGUCGGCGGAAACCACUUGGCUAGAGUCCGGAAGAGGAGAGUGGAAUUCCCGGUGUAGCGGUGAAAUGCGUAGAGAUCAUGAGGAAGACCAGUGGCGAAGGCGGGUCUCUGGACAGUUCCUGACACUGAGGCACGAAGGCCAGGGGAGCAAACGGG